UACGUAAGGACCGAGCGUUGUCCGGAAUCAUUGGGCGUAAAGGGUACGUAGGCGGUUAGAAAAGUUAGAAGUGAAAGGCUAUAGCUCAACUAUAGUAAGCUUUUAAAACUGUUUAACUUGAGUGAUGGAAGGGUAAGUGGAAUUCCUAGUGUAGCGGUGAAAUGCGCAGAUAUUAGGAGGAAUACCGGUGGCGAAAGCGACUUUCUGGCCAAUAACUGACACUGAGGUACGAAUGCGCGGGUAGCGAACGGG
rnacentral:rRNA from 1 species